rnacentral:rRNA from 1 species
UGGGGAAUUUUGGACAAUGGGGGCAACCCUGAUCCAGCCAUGCCGCGUGAGUGAAGAAGGCCUUCGGGUUGUAAAGCUCUUUCGGCCGGGAAGAAAUCGCAUGGGUUAAUACCCUGUGUGGAUGACGGUACCGGAAUAAGAAGCACCGGCUAACUACGUGCCAGCAGCCGCGGUAAUACGUAGGGUGCAAGCGUUAAUCGGAAUUACUGGGCGUAAAGCCUGCGCAGGCGGUUAUGCAAGACAGAUGUGAAAUCCCCGGGCUCAACCUGGGAACUGCCUUUGUGACUGCGAAGCUAGAGUACGGCAGAGGGGGGUGGAAUUCAACGUGUAGCAGUGAAAUGCGUAGAGAUGUGGAGGAACACCGAUGGCGAAGGCAGCCCCCUGGGCCGAUACUGACGCUCAUGAACGAAAGCGUGGGUAGCAAACA